AGAAAGAUACAGUACUAGUGUUAGAAACUAGACCGUCUAAGAAAUUUUGAAAUUGAAACGAAAGAAACGUAACCAAACCCUAAUGCUCUCCACCCUCAACGCCACCGCAUCGCAACGCCAUAGCCGUCUCUGAAGCAGUGUUCCUCUGUCAACGUUAUAGAUCUCUCAACUCAGCACCGCCACAACCCUUUCAACUCAGUCGCUUUCGUCUCUCCGACCCUGUGAAUCCAAUCGGUAGGAGGAAGAUUUUAAGCACUUAUUCCAGAAAAACAAGGUUGUUGAUAUGGAAGAAAUUUGUAUACCUAGUGGGCGACCUAAAGGAUCUAUAUAUCGAAGACAAUUAAAUCUACGUUUGAUGGACCUCGCAACAAUUGGAAAUGUUGUUACGAUAAAAUAAAAAAAAUGUGGUUUAAUGAGUAUCCGGUAAUGUGUGUUGUUUAUUUUCUAUCAUUUCAUAUAAUGUUAUAACUUCAAAUUAUGCAGAAACUAUUAAUGAACAGAAGUACUAAUACCAUGGUAAUAUCUUUUAUAUUAUUUUAGUAUUUUUUUAUGCUCCUGCAGAAUCGUCGCAUUUCUUUCCUCACUGCUCAGCCAAUCUCUACCAUUGUUUGUACAUCACUUUAUUUAUUUAUUUAUUUUUGUUUUCAUCACUCUAUAAAACUUUUAGAGAGAUAGAGAUAGAGAGAGAGCGAGGGAGGGAGGCAGGAGGGAGGGAGGUAUUGAACAUGCUACAUCGGGGAUUGGUAAAUUGGGGAAUUCUGCUACAAAUGUAGAUUUUUUUUUUGGUGAAAACACUCCAAAAAAAGAAGUAUUUAUAAACAUUCACCUUAUAACGCCAGUUUUGUUUUUGCAAGAUUGUGUUAAGUCCAAUCCAAAUUCUAAGAUGAUAUUAGAGUAUCGAGUCAUGCUCUAGAUGUCCUGCCCAUGGUGUAAGGGAUGUCAUAACACUCCCACAUUGAAUGUGAAUGGUUUAAAAUGUUUAUAAGUGGGAGGCACCUUCCACCUUACUAGCCCGUUUUGUACGGUUGGGUUAGGGGCUCAAAACUCACAAGGCAUAACUGAAUGCAGGGACAGGGAGCAGUAAAGUAUAAGUAGUGGAAUUUUGUAAUGAAGGGAUGGGUGAAUGUGAGAGGAGAGAUAUCAUUUACUUUCUUCCUUUUGCAAGAGAUUCAUCUUCAUCCAUUGUAAAUUACUUUACUGUUUUAUUCAUCUUGAUAGACUCAUCCCCCUGAGUUUGUCAUUAAUUCUAUUUCCGUCAGUUUCAGUUUAUCAUAGUGUUUGUUCCUAUCAAAAUACAGCUGUACGCAGAUUUGAAAUAAUGGCAAGUGAACAAAAAAAUGCAUAAAAAAUACAACACCCGCAUUAAAACAGUAAAACUAAGUUUGGUCCAAAUACAUUAGACUUUUUGCUUAUAUUUAAAUAGGAGGAAAUACUCGAGUAAAAGGGGAGAAAUAUGUAGGCUGGUCUUAUAUGUUGUGGCAGUCAAUUUUGUACAAAUACAAUGAUCUUGAUUGAAAGUCUUCUUACAUUGCUAUACUUUUAAUAGGAAAAAGAAUUGCUGUCUUCUGGAAUGCCUGAACAAGUACAAUCAGGCAUGUAACCGCUUGUGAAUAAUGCAGCUGCUGCUAAUAUGCCUUUGUCCCAAUAGACGGCUUCUUCACAAUAAAAAUAUAUAAGGGUCUGGGAGUUCAAUAAAAUGGGAGGAUGAUGAUACUGUGCCCCAACGAGAUCUAAACUUGGAUAAAUUGAAUUGACGGCAAAAAGUAGAUGUAUUGUGUCUCGAUGACCCUAUUGAAUUUACGGUAUCAGAGGCUGGAAAUAAUGACUUUUUGAUCCACAAUCUUUAAAUAUGGAGCUCAUUACAAGGAUGAUGGUACUGUGGCCAAACGAGAUCUAAACUUCGAUAAAUUGAAUUGACGGCAAAAAAUAGAUAGAUUGUAUUGUGUCUUGAUGACCCUAUUGAAUUAACGGUAUCCGUGGUUGAAAUGAUGACUUUUUGGUCGGUUGAUCUUUAAAUAUGGAGCUCAUUCAAGGUAUGCUACUAUGCAUUUUAACUAUUCUUAGUUUGAGUCUUUUAUGACUACUACAUGCUAUGCUACUGUGUUUGCCUUUCAUCAACAAAAAUUCUUUGUUUUGAUAGUAUCCUAGAGUUUUCAAAAACAUAUUCAUAACAAAAUGCAUGUUAUGACGACCCUUAAUUGAAUGAGAAUAAAAAAGUACAUCGUUUUAAAUUCAAUACAAUAGGAUGUCCCUGAUGGAUAAUAUGAUAUAUAAACCUAUAGGAUGAUGGUAAUGUGCCCCAAUGAGAUCUAAACUUAGAUAAAUUGAAGGUAAAAAAUAGAUGGAUUUUAUUGUGUCCAGAUGACCUUAUUGAAUUGACGGUAUCCGUGGUUGAAAUGAUGGAUUCAUAACAUAAUGCUUGUUAUGACGACCCUUAAUUGAAUGAGAAUAGAAAACCUACAUGGUUUUAAAUUCAAUACAAUAGAUGUCCAUCUAAGAUAAAUUGAAUUGAUGGUAAAAAAUAGAUGGAUUAUAUUGUGUUUCGAUGAUCCUAUUGAAUUGACGGUAUCGAUGGUUGAAAUGAUGGCUUUUUGGUCGGUUGGUCUUUAAAUAUGGAGCUCAUUCAAGGUAUGCUAUUAUGCAUUUUAACUAUUCUUAGUUUGAGUCUUUUAUGACUACUACAUGGUAUACUAUGUUUGCCUUUGGUUAACAAAAAUUCUUUGUUUUGAUCGGAUCCUACAGUUUUCAAAAACAUAUUCAUAACAAAAUUCAUGUUAUGACGACCCUUAAUCGAAUGAGAAUAAAAAAGUACAUGGUUUUAAAUAAUACAAUAGGAUGUCCCUGAUGGAUAAUAUGAUAUUUAAACCUAUAGGAUGAUGGUAAUGUGCCCCAACGAGAUCUAAACUUAGAUAAAUUGAAUUGACGGUAAAAAAUAGAUGGAUUGUAUUGUUUCUAGAUGACCCUAUUAAAUCGACGGUAUCAGUGGCUGAAAUGAUGGAUUCAUAACAUUAUACUUGUUAUGACGACCGUUAAUUGAAUGAGAAUAGAAAACAUACAUGGUUUUAAAUGCAAUAAAAUAGGAUGUCCCUGGUGGAUAAUAUGAUAUUUUAACCUAUACGGUUCAAUUAAACCGGAGAUGAUAGUACUGUGCCCCAACAACAUCUAUACUUCGAUAAAUUGAAUUGACGGUAAAACAUAGAUGGAUUGUAUUGUGUCUGGAUUACACUCUUGAAUUGACGGUAUCAGUGGUUGAAAUGAUGGAUUCAUAACAUAAUGCUUGUUAUGACGACCCUUAAUUGAAUGAGAAUAGAAAACCUAAAUGAUUUUAAAUUCAAUACAACAGGAUGUCGUUGAUGGAUAAUAUGAUAUUUGAACUUAUACGGUUCAAUAAAAUGUGAGAUGAUGGUAUUAUGCCUAAUGAAAUCUAAACUUCGAUAAAUUGAAUUGAGGGUAAAAAAUAGAUGGAUUGUAUUGUGUCUUGAUGUCUUAUAAGGACCUAAAAAGCAUUGGGGCUCAAAAAUUAUUGGUCCAACAAUUCAAGAAAGGCGUUAUAGGAAACAAUAACAAACAAUUUUAGCCUGUUUAGACAGAAGAAUAAACAACUUGUGGAGAAAUUUUAGGGGAAAAAGGAUUCAAAUCAUCAAAUAAAUGGGUGUGUGUUGCUAUUUUAUUUUAUGUAGUGUGUAUGAGACACCUAGCAUUAAGAGGUCUGCACUUCUUCUUUUGUGAUGAGUGUGCGAUAAAGAUAUGAAAUUGGAAAUCCUGAGGUCAACAUCUGAUCUGAUGGUUGUGUGUUGCUUUUAUUGGUGUUUGUUGUAUGCUAAUCUCUCUACAUCCUAUGCAAGGUGCUAGCUCUUUCUCUUGUGCAGUUUCCAAAAUAAAUAAAAAAAAAACAUUUAACCAUCAAUUAACGGUGUUAUGUUUAUAAAGGAGGUUUUUAUAUAUUUUAAAAGACCUUAGGGGAGGUUAGUGUUUAAUCUAAAAUUAGAGGGGGUGUUUGUGUCUUUUAAAGAAACUUCGGGGGAGGUUAGUGUAUUUUUCCCUAAUUAUUAAAUCACUUAGGUAAUAUUUCUUUAUCAUGCAUUGGUUUAUAAAAACAAUUUAAUUACUCAUUUAUAAAUAUAUUUUGUAGUAGGAUUAUACAUGAUUAUGAUUCAUUACUGUGUUCACAUCACCAACACAACCUAUAUAGAGU